rnacentral:rRNA from 1 species
CCUACGGGAGGCAGCAGUGAGGAAUAUUGGUCAAUGGCCGGAAGGCUGAACCAGCCAAGCCGCGUGCGGGAGGAAGGCGCAGAGCGUCGCAGACCUCUUUUGCCGGGGGACAAAAGGCCGGACUCGUCCGGUCCUGAGGGUACCCGGCGAAAAAGCAUCGGCUAACUCCGUGCCAGCAGCCGCGGUAAUACGGAGGAUGCGAGCGUUAUCCGGAUUUAUUGGGUUUAAAGGGUGCGGAGGCGGGUCGUUAAGGUGGCGGUGAAAUCCCGGGGCCUAACCCCGGCGGUGCCUCGGAUCCUGGCGGGCUAGAGUGCGGCUGAGGUAUGCGGAAUGGGCGGUGUAGCGGUGAAAUGCAUAGAGAUCGCGCAGAACCCCGAUUGCGAAGGCAGCGUGCCAUGCCGCGACUGACGCUGAGGCACGAAAGCGCGGGGAUCGAACAGGAUUAGAUACCCUAGUAGUC